AUUGAUUAAGCUAGAAAGAGCUUAUGGUGGAUGCCUAGGCAUUCAGAGUUGAAGAAGGACGCGACCGGCUGCGAAAAGCCGUGGGGAGCUGCUAAAUAAGCGUAGAUCCGCGGAUAUCCGAAUGGGGCAACCCACCAGUGUGGAGCACUGGUAUUAUGUGGUGAAAGAAGUAGCCAUGUAAGAACAAGCAGGAGAACUGAAACAUCUUAGUACCCUGAGGAAAAGAAAUCAAAACGAGAUUCCCUUAGUAGCGGCGAGCGAAGGGGGAGAAGUCCAAACACAUUAAGUGUAAGUCUGCAGAUGUUGCUUAAUGUGGGUGUAGGAUAUAACGGCUAAAAGCUGCAGUUUUUAGGUGACUUAAAUUUUUUACCCAGUCGAAUGAGCUGGAAAGCUCAACCGUAGGAGGUAAUAGUCCUGUAGACGAAAGGUAGAAGAAGUCACGGAUAUAUCCAGAGUAUCACGGGCCACGAGAAACCCUGUGAGAAUAUGGGAGGACCACCUUCCAAGACUAAAUACUCCUGAAUGACCGAUAGUGAACAAGUACCGUGAGGGAAAGGUGAAAAGAACCCCGGGAGGGGAGUGAAAUAGAAACUGAAACCAUAAGCUUACAACAAGUAGGAGGGCUAUUAAAAAGCCUGACUGCGUACUUUUUGUAUCACGGACCGGCGAGUUACUAAUCGUAGCGAAAGGUUAAGUCAUAGAGAUGAAGCCAGAGCGAAAGCGAGUCUGAUAAGGGCGGAAGUUAUGAUUAGUAGACCCGAAACCGAGUGAUCUAUCCAUGACCAGGGUGAAGCGAGUGUAAGAGCUUGUGGAGGCCCGAACCCACUUAUGUUGAAAAAUGAGGGGAUGAGUUGUGGAUAGGGGUGAAAGGCCAAUCGAACUCGGAGAUAGCUGGUUCUCCUCGAAAUAGCUUUAGGGCUAGCCUCGAUGUAAAAGUUAAACGGUUGUAGAGCACUGAUUGGACAAGGGGCCCAACAAGGUUACCAAAUCCAUUCAAACUCCGAAUGCCGUUUAGUGUUCAUCGGGAGUCAGACUAUGUGGGAUAAGCUUCAUAGUCGAAAGGGAAACAGCCCAGACCACCAGAUAAGGUCCCAAAGUAUAUGCUAAGUGGAAAAGGAAGUGAGAUCGCACAGACAACCAGGAUGUUGGCUUAGAAGCAGCCACUCAUUUAAAGAGUGCGUAAUAGCUCACUGGUUAAGCGGUUUUGCGCCGAAAAUGUAACGGGGCUCAAGCAUAUCACCGAAGCUGUGGAUUUGGAGAUUAUUCAUGGAGUCUAUUAUUUAAAACAAUAAGUUAUAUUUGGUCAAAACUAACAAAUAUAACUUAUAAACGAAAGUUUUGACUAAAUGAUUUCAAGAUAAAGCAUAUCAAUAACAAAGUUAAUUGAUUGCAUAGCAUAUCUAUUUAAGAAGUAGUAGAUUGCAUGAAUAAUCUCCAAGUGGUAGAGGAGCAUUGUGUACGGAGCGAAGCUGUACCGUAAGGAGCAGUGGACUGUACAGAAGAGAGAAUGCCGGUAUGAGUAACGAAAAAAGGAGUGAGAAUCUCCUUCGCCGAAAGUCUAAGGAUUCCUGGGGAAGGCUCGUCCUCCCAGGGUUAGUCGGGACCUAAGCUGAGGCCGAAAGGCGUAGGUGAUGGAAAAUCUGUAAAGAUUCAGAUACCACUGUAAAUUGAUUGAGUGAAGUGGUAACGCGGCAAAGAGAGUGGAGCGUGUGACUGGAAGAGCACGUAUAAGCUAAGGAGUUAGGGUAAGGAGGUAAAUCCCUUUACCCGCUAAUAACUUUUAGUGAUGUGGAGCCAAAAGAGGUGAAGCCACUUAAUAAGCCGCCAAGAAAAACCACUAACGAGAUUUACAGUGCCCGUACCGCAAACCGACACAGGUAGACGGGAAGAGAAUUCUAAGGCGCGCGAGAGAACCCUUGUUAAGGAACUCGGCAAAAUGACCCCGUAACUUCGGGAGAAGGGGUACCCAUUAGCACUAGCUAGUGGGUCGCAGUGAAAAGAUCCAAGCGACUGUUUAUCAAAAACACAGGUCUCUGCUAAGUCGUAAGACGAAGUAUAGGGGCUGACGCCUGCCCGGUGCUGGAAGGUCAAGGAGAAGGCUUAGUGCUAGCCACGAAGGUCUGAACCUAAGCCCCAGUAAACGGCGGCCGUAACUAUAACGGUCCUAAGGUAGCGAAAUUCCUUGUCGGGUAAGUUCCGACCUGCACGAAUGGCGUAACGACUUGGAUGCUGUCUCAACAAGGGACUCGGUGAAAUUAAAUUGCCUGUGAAGAUGCAGGCUACCUGCGACAGGACGGAAAGACCCCGUGGAGCUUUACUGCAGCCUGAUAUUGGGUUUUGAUGUAGAAUGUACAGGAUAGGUGGGAGACUUUGAAACUGGCAUGCCAAUGUCAGUGGAGUCGCUGGUGGGAUACCACCCUUUCUACAGCGGAAUUCUAACUGGAGGCCAUAAACUGGUCACAGGACAUUGUCAGGCGGGCAGUUUGACUGGGGCGGUCGCCUCCCAAACAGUAACGGAGGCGCUCAAAGGUUCCCUCAGUGCGGAUGGAAAUCGCACGAAGAGUGUAAAGGCAGAAGGGAGCUUAACUGCAAGACAGACAAGUCGAGCAGGUACGAAAGUAGGACUUAGUGAUCCGGCGGUAUAGUGUGGAAUUGCCGUCGCUCAACGGAUAAAAGUUACCCCGGGGAUAACAGGCUUAUCUCCCCCAAGAGUUCACAUCGACGGGGAGGUUUGGCACCUCGAUGUCGGCUCAUCGCAUCCUGGAGCUGAAGCAGGUUCCAAGGGUUUGGCUGUUCGCCAAUUAAAGCGGUACGCGAGCUGGGUUCAGAACGUCGUGAGACAGUUCGGUCCCUAUCCGUCGCAGGCGAAAGAUACUUGAGAAGAGCUGUCCCCAGUACGAGAGGACCGGGAUGGACACACCGAUGGUGAAUCAGUUGUUCCACCAGGAGCAUAGCUGAGCAGCUAAGUGUGGAAAAGAUAAGCGCUGAAAGCAUCUAAGCGUGAAACAGACUUCAAGAUUAGGUAUCUCACUUUGUUAAGAAGGUAAGAUCCCUUAAAGAUGAUAAGGUAGAUAGGCCAGAGGUGUAAGUGUAGUAAUACAUUAAGCUAACUGGUACUAAUAGAUCGAGGGCUUAAUCAUU
rnacentral:rRNA from 1 species